rnacentral:lncRNA from 1 species
AUGAAGCUGCUGCCGUCGGUGGUGCUGAAGCUCUUUCUUGCUGCAGUGCUUUCGGCGUUGGUGACUGGCGAGAGCCUGGAGCGGCUUUGGAGAGUCCUGGCUGCUGGAGCCAGCAAUCUGGACUCCCCUACUCAAUCUACGGACCAGCUGCUGCCCGUGGGAGGUGACCAAGGCUGGGAAGUCCUGGACUUGGAAGAGGCAAACCUGGACCUUUUCAGAGCUGCUUUCUCCUCCAAGACACAAGCUCUGGCCACACCCAGCAAGGAGGAGGGAAGAAGAGAAACCCAUGUCUUCGGAGAUACAAGGACUUCUGCAUCCACGGAGAAUGCAAAUACGUGAAGGAGCUCCGGGUUCCAACCUGCAUCUGCUACCCAGGUUAUUAUGGAGAGAGGUGCCAUGGGCUGAGCCUCCCAGUGAAAAAUCGCUUAUAUACAUACGUGCGAUCACACAACCAUCCUGGUUGUGGUGGCUGUGGUGCUGUCAUCCGUCUGUCUGCUGGUCAUCAUGCGGCUUCUCAUGUUUUGGUACUACAGGAGAGGAGGUUAUGACGUGGAAAAUGAAGAGAAAGUGAAGUUGGGUGUGACUACGUCCCACUGA